rfam:Defluviitoga tunisiensis isolate L3 genome assembly, chromosome: I
GGGGACGUUCCGGAUUCGACGGGGAUAGGUUGGUUUCGGGAAGCGAGCCGAGGGUCUGCAACCUCGAAAAAAAGCAGAACAAUUUGAAAUGCCGAACAACCAGAAUUAGCUUUAGCUGCUGCCUAAUAUAGCGCACAGCUCGUCUCUCCUCAAGUUUAAGAAGCCUUUCUUGAGGAAUGAGGCGUCAGAAAAAGGCUUCACUUUUUGAGUCUAGUGCUCGGACUCAAAAAGUAACAAAAGUGCACUAGGGAGUUGAGACUCUGUCCGCAAAGUCACAAUUCCCAAAAAACGAUUGCGGACUGCGCUCGGAGAAGCCGAGGUCAACUAUCUUCGGACGCGGGUUCGACUCCCGCCGUCUCCACCA